UUCUUCUACCCAAUCACCAAAAGAAACAACAAAUAGUUGUUGAAUCUUACUAUGUAUUGGUAGCUCAUUCUCCCCACAAGAGCUUCCAGCAUAUAUAUAUAUAUAUAUAUAUGUGCGUGUGUGCGCGCGCGCUUUAGAUGCUACUAGUAAGUAACAGUCUUGUGCAUGCAUUUUGGGAUGGAAAUCAUUGCUCACUCUCCCUCAAGGGCUUCUGAAUUUGCCUGUGUUUAAGGGCUUAAACUGAAGCGCUGGAGGGUAGAGUGGAUAAUGUUCACCAUUCUUUCUGGCUACGUAUUUUGGCAAGUCAGUCAUGUCCAUAUGAGGAAAAAAGAAGCAAAUUUCAUUUUCGAAGCAUAUUAAAAAUAAGGACAAAGGGUAAGUUCCAUGGAUCAUAUGUAGAGUUAGAUGAACAAUAUUGGUGCAAGCUGGAUGCCCAGUGCUCAAUAGUGAUUGAUGAUUGUCCGUAUAGCUAGAGGCCAGUGGCAUGUGAGUUUCAGAACUCAUGUAUAGUGGCUCAAAAUGUUCCCCAUCUUUCCAAAAUCCUACGCUACUAUUAAUGAGCUUUGCUUGAGUUAUUAUUUUGGGCAAUGUAUCAUAUCAAAAACAUGUUGCAUGUGACUAUGACCCCACAAAGUCUGGCAACCAUUUCAAGUAUGUAUGCAAUGCUUCCUUCAUAACCUUAACUAGAUAAACUUGGCUUGUGAA